rnacentral:rRNA from 1 species
GAAUUCAACUCCUACGGGAGGCAGCAGUGAGGAAUAUUGGUCAAUGGUCGCAAGACUGAACCAGCCAUGCCGCGUGCAGGAAGACGGUCCUAUGGAUUGUAAACUGCUUUUAUACAGGAAGAAACCCUCCCACGUGUGGGAGCUCGACGGUACUGUAGCAAUAAGGAUCGGCUAACUCCGUGCUAGCAGCCGCGGUAAUACGGAGGAUCCAAGCGUUAUCCGGAAUCAUUGGGUUUAAAGGGUCCGUAGGCGGUCUUAUAAGUCAGUGGUGAAAGCCCAUCGCUCAACGAUGGAACUGCCAUUGAUACUGUAAGACUUGAAUGCUUAGGAAGUAACUAGAAUAUGUAGUGUAGCGGUGAAAGGCUUAGAUAUUACAUGGAAUACCAAUUGCGAAGGCAGGUUACUACUAAGUGAUUGACGCUGAUGGACGAAAGCGUGGGGAGCAAACAGGAUUAGAAACCCGUGUAGUCCAGGCGUU